rnacentral:rRNA from 1 species
GACGAACGCUGGCGGCGUGCUUAACACAUGCAAGUCGAACGAAAAGACCCGGCUCUUGUUGGUUUCUCGAUUGGCGAACGGGGGAGUAACACGUGAGUAACCUGCCCUUGACUUUGUGAUAACUUCAGGAAACUGGGGCUAAUACCGGAGAGGAGCUCCUGCUGCGUGGUGGUGGUUAGAAAGUGUCGGCUGUUGUGGAUGGACUGGCUGGUUAUGAGCUUGUUUGUGGGGUAGGUGCUUUCCAAGGCUUUGACGGGUAGGCUGCCUGAGAGGGUGAACGGCCACCUUGGGCCUGCGAUACGGACCAGAAUGGUAUGGGAGGCAGUAGUGGGAAAUAUUGCACAACGGGCGGAAGCGUGAUGCAGCAACGUCGCGUGCGGGAUGACGGCUUUCGGGUUGUAAACAGCUUUCGAAUGUGACGAAGAGUGCGUGACGGUACCGGGUAAAGAAGCCACGGCUAACUACGUG